UCCCUUUUAGCUCAAUUAGUAAAGAAUCUGCCUGCAUUGCAGGAGACCCAGGUUCAAUCCCUGGGUUGGGAA
rnacentral:tRNA from 1 species